rnacentral:rRNA from 1 species
CCUACGGGAGACAGCAGUGAGGAAUAUUGGUCAAUGGGCGAGAGCCUGAACCAGCCAAGUCGCGUGAAGGAUGACGGCCCUACGGGUUGUAAACUUCUUUUGUCAGGGAGCAAUUGGGUCCACGCGUGGGCUUAGCGAGAGUACCUGAAGAAAAAGCAUCGGCUAACUCCGUGCCAGCAGCCGCGGUAAUACGGGGGAGGCGAGCGUUAUCCGGAUUUAUGGGGUUUAAAGGGUGCGUAGGCGGAAUAUCAAGUCAGCGGUAAAAAUUCGGGGCUCAACCCCGUCGUGCCGUUGAAACUGAUGUUCUUGAGUGGGCGAGAAGUAUGCGGAAUGCGUUGUGUAGCGGUGAAAUGCAGAGAGAUCACGCAGAACUCCGAUUGCGAAGGCAGCAUACCGGCGCCCAACUGACGCUGAAGCACGAAAGCGUGGGUAUCGAACAGGAUUAGAUACCCCUGUAGUC